rnacentral:rRNA from 1 species
UACGUAGGGUGCAAGCGUUAAUCGGAAUUACUGGGCGUAAAGCGUGCGCAGGCGGCUAUGCAAGACAGAUGUGAAAUCCCCGGGCUCAACCUGGGAACUGCAUUUGUGACUGCAUGGCUAGAGUACGGUAGAGGGGGAUGGAAUUCCGCGUGUAGCAGUGAAAUGCGUAGAUAUGCGGAGGAACACCGAUGGCGAAGGCAAUCCCCUGGACCUGUACUGACGCUCGUGCACGAAAGCGUGGGGAGCAAACAGG